GAUGAACGCUGGCGGCGUGGAUAAGGCAUGCAAGUCGAGCGGUCCCGACAUUUUGUCGGGACAGCGGCGAACGAGUUAGUAACACGUGGAUACGUACCCUGAAGACGGGCAUAAUCCGCCGAAAGGCGGACUAAUUCCCGAUAGCCCCCUCUUUCGCUUUUUGUUUCACAAAAGCUUCAGAGGGCGAAGCCGUAAGGCAUUGCCCUCCAUAGCUCUGCGUGGAACACAGAGCGAAGGAGGGGUAAAGGAGCAAUUCGCUUCAGGAGCGGUCCGCGGCCUAUCAGCUUGUUGGUGGGGUAAAAGCCCACCAAGGCUAUGACGGGUAGGGGAGGUGAGAGCCUGUUCCCCAACGUGGGUACUGAGACACGGACCUGACACCUACGGGUGGCCGCAGUCGAGGAUAUUGGACAAUGGGGGAAACCCUGAUCCAGCGACGCCGCGUGCGGGAUGAAGGCCUUCGGGUUGUAAACCGCUUUUAUAGAGGAAGAAACUUUUAGUUGACGGUACUCUAUGAAUAAGGGGGUGCUAAUUCUGUGCCAGCAGCAGCGGUAAUACAGAACCCCCGAGUGUUAUCCGGAAUUAUUGGGCGUAAAGCGUCUGUAGCCGGUUUGGAAAGUCUUUUGUUAAAUACCAAGGGCUCAACCUUUGGAAUGCAAGGGAAACUUCCAGACUCGAGGAUGUUAGGGGCUGAUGGAACUCUUGGUGGAGGGGUGGAAUCCGUUGAUAUCAAGAGGAACACCGAAAGCGAAGGCAUUCAGCUGGAACAAUCCUGACGGUGAGAGACGAAAGCGUGGGGAGCGAAAAGGAUUAGAUACCCUUGUAGUCCACGCCGUAAACGAUGGAUACUAGCUAUGUGAAGUGUCGACCCUUCACGUGGCGAAGCUAACGCGUUAAGUAUCCCGCCUGGGAAGUACGAUCGCAAGAUUAAAACUCAAAGGAAUAGACGG
rnacentral:rRNA from 1 species